rnacentral:tRNA from 1 species
GGAGAUGUAGCUCAGUGGUAAAGCACUUGCCUAGCAUUCAUGAGGUCCUGGGUUCAAUCCCUAGUACCACAA